UACAUGUUUUGUUAAUUUAUAUGAUAUUACAUAAGUCUUGAAAGAAAAUUUAAUGUUGUUAUUUAUUUUGACAGAUAUAUGGCUGAUCAUCCACAUUCUUCAGGGGAUGAGGCUCCCCCACCCAGAUCCACUAGAGGACCCACUAGGAUGAAACAACUAUUAAUCAGGAAAAAUAGUGGUGAAAGAACUCCGGUGAAUGUGAAUGUCACCACGGGUGUGGCAACUGGCCCCUAUGCAGAUGACUUCCGAUCAUACCUUGGAGUAGUGGCACGUGAUAAGAUUAGCAUUCUCAUUCCAUCUUUUGAUCAUGUGUCCGAGGGUGAUCGGAACAUUAUUUGGCAAGAUAUAUUGAUGACAUUUGACAUUCCAAAUGUCCCAACACUUAGAAAUAAGUGUUUGUCAACUGUUGCAGAAAAUUUCAGAAACUUUAAAAGCAAGUUGACAUCAAGGUACAUCUUUGGACACCUUAAACAUAAAACUCCAUGUAAUGCAUAUAAGUCCAUUGAUGAGGAGACUUGGCGGGUUUUUAAAGAGAGUCGGAUGUCAGAGGAAUGGCAGGCAAUUAGAAGCAAAGCACAAGGAACAAGUGCUAAGAACAAAAACCCCCACCUAUUAUCUCGUGGUGGGUAUAGGAAGCUUGAGGAGAAAAUCCUCAAGCAAAAGGCAGAUGCUAUACCACCAUCUCAGAGUGGUAGCCCUCCUCAGCCUCCUUCUCCACCGUCUAGACAUGAGAAAUGGAAGUUGGCCCGUAUGCGACCAUCGGGCACCUACUCUUCCGACACUGCACGAGAGAUUUCUGAAAAAAUUGACGCCUUGGUUGAGCAGAGCUCCCAAGGCCAAUUCACUCCAGAGGGUCGCCAGGAUAUUCUUGCUGCUGCAAUUGGACGACCUGAGCACCCUGGACGUGUACGUGCUGCAGGUCCUGGAGUAGGCAUUACGGAUUAUUUUGGGAGCUCUUCUCGUCAGCCUUCAUAUUCGUACAGCGAUACACAAAGGAUGACAGAAGAGAUCACAAAAAAGGUCCGACAAGACCUUAUGCAGGAGAUCAGGGCCGAGGUGAGGGCUGAAUUCCAGAUGCUCUACCAGGAGCAGUUUCAGAGCAUGCGCCCGAUGCAGUCUCCUAUAGAGGAACAUGUGGUCCCUCCCCCUCCCACAGGGAGAAGCGGCAAAGGAAGUUGUUCCGCAUCAGCCAUCCCAGAGGAUGACAUGGACGAUGGUAGUCCAUGUCUGCUAUACAUUUUAGAAGAAGAUGAGAUGGUGCUGGUAGCUCGUGGAACAGAGUUUAGGUCAGCGACUGUAUGUCAUGGUAUGCAACUAUUAGAGGAUGAGGUGAAGGUCUCAGUGGAUGAAAUGAUCAUGCCAGAUGCCUCGGUUCCACUGUCCACGGAAGAGAUUUUCACUGUGGAACAAGCAUAUAAGUCGUUUAUCACUUGGCCUAAAUUUUUGGUUAAACCAGUUUCUGACCCCUCGGUAUGAAAUUCUUCUUUACACUUCUCAAUUUUAAAGGUUUUUGAUGUCAAAACUUAUCUUAUCUUUUCAUGUAACAACAGACGCAGGAACAACAGAAGAUUCCUCUAUCUGAGGAUGACCCUCUUUCUUCAUUGCAUCUACUUGCUGACAUCCUUGAUGAUAAGCCUUUGGAGGUUCAGUAUGAUGCUAAUGUAUUUGGGCAUGGCUCUGAGGUCCCAAUAUACCUUAAUAGCCAAGAUGUCCGUGAGCUUGCGUCGGGAACACAAGAGUUGAAUAUUUCAAUUAUUCAACUAUGGACGAUGUAUAUGUCUGGGGUCACUAAUAAGUUGGGGCGUUCUGAUGAUUAUGGAUUCAUUGAUCCCCAAUCAAUUCAUGAAUCAAAUGAUUUUGAGCAUAUCAACAUGAGUCUGAUAAGAAGUUUUGGAAGGGGCAAGAAAAUAUACUUUUUGCCUUAUAUAUCCGGGUAAGUGAACUUUGUUAACAUAAUAAUGUUCCAUAUGUGAUUUUAAUAUUUAAUAGUUACGUUAUUAUGAAUUUCAGGCGCCAUUGGCAACUUCUUGUUAUGUCUAUGCAAGACAACUAUGCUUUGUGGUUCUGCUCAUUGCACAGGCCUCCUCCCACACAACUCAAACAAGCAAUUGAUUGUUCUAUUCCAGCAAGUAUGAUGAUGGACGGGA